rnacentral:lncRNA from 1 species
GAACAGAUUAGCAAACAGGAUUUGGUAGAGUGAAUAAUGGGUUUUGGGAAAACUCAAACGUGAAAUUGUUGGGGAAAAGAAAAGAAAAUUUGAACGUGGAUUUUGCUGGGAAAAAAGAAGAAAAAUCAAAGAAACUAAAAAUAAAAUAAAAUAAAAUCCCCUAACAACCCUAUCCAACAACUUGAUAACUUUCUAGUGUUUGACUUUCAAACCAACUCCAGCCCAUGCACCCUUGACUGAAAUUAUAAAAGAAAAACCCUCUUUUUGC